rnacentral:lncRNA from 1 species
UUUACUCAAACUUGGUUCCACAAUCAAGUCUAUGAGAACAUUGAACUCUUGUUAUGUGAAGGGAGGAAGUUCUUUCAAGUGGCAGAAGAAGGAGCUAAAUUCAACAGCUAGAUGUCAAAACACAAGGUUAUGACAUUUUGUUCAACAUCAGAAUCUUAGUUGGUGAAGUGGCACAUCAACUUGAGAUAGAAGGGUCUACAGGGUUGUAGAUUGGAUACUUCAAAAAG